rnacentral:lncRNA from 1 species
UAAUGUCCCGGGAAUUAAGUGUUUCUCGUCAUAAAAAAGCAAGACAAAUCCUGUUACUCCAUCAAGGAAAUGGAGCAGCAGCGUUGGGGGAAAAAAAAGGAAUCCGGCUCAAAAUCAACUGCACAACUCUCAUGAUACUAAAAAAUUUCACAGAAAUGGAAGAAUCUAAAGUACAUUGUUUUUCUAGUCGGGAAGAACGAGACAGCUUAUACAGCCCGUAGGAGUUCA